CUCGCUCUGUUCCUUCUUCUUGCAAAGCCCCAUCACUGCCUGUCUCUAGGGUUCAUGGAAGCCGACACCCGGAGCCACUUGUCCGCCGCUUCCAAGAGCCGCCAUCCGGCUUUGCAAUCCCGAUACGAUGCGUAUCUCGGGUUCGAGGAGUUGGAUGGAGGGGAGGACGAAUCGCGACCGGAGUUCGCUUGCCCGUUCUGCUCUGAGGUCUUCGAUGUCGUGGGGCUGUGCUGCCACAUGGAUGAUGAGCAUCCGGUCGAGGCUAAGAACGGGGUGUGCCCUGUUUGUGCAGCUAGGGUUGGGAUGGACAUGGUUGGCCACAUAACUACACAACAUGCAAAUUUUUUAAAAAUACAGCGUAGGAGGAGAUACCACAAAGGAUCCUGGGGGUCCCACUCUACAAUUCUUUUGUUGAGAAAGGAUAAUACACUGGAAGGCAAUAUGCAAUCACUUGUGGGGGGUUCUUCUUUUACUCCCUCCAGUGCUGCACCUGAUCCAUUGUUGUCGUCAUUCAUUUUUAAUUUGCCAGUGAUUGAUCCAUCAGAAGAUGCCCGGCCUGAACCUUUGGAUGAACAAAGUAUGGAUGAUAAAAUUUCAGAGGAGAAAUUGGUUGAGAGUGUUUUGCCAUGUCCACUACACCAAGAUCGGGAGGAGAGUGCUCGGAGGAGCGAGUUUGCGAGCCAGAUUGUGAUCUCUACAAUAUUCGAUGAUGCAUUAUGAACUCCUCUAGCUCUCAUGGUGGCAUCAGCAGCAGCUCACGAGACAAUCUGGAAAUGGUUAGAGGUUGCUGCAAUGGUGAUACCGGACCUGAACCAGAUUUGCGGCAGCUAGAUUUAGUCCCACAUCGAGGAAGUACGAGGAGGCCAGCGACCACGGAGCGUACAAGAGGAGAGUGAGGCCGCUUAAGUUCCAUACUUACCUGGACGGGGUCGAUGGGCGAACAAGUAGGCCCAUGGCCUGGGUAUGUGACCUCCAUUGCACUUUGGAGGGGUGCUGGCCCACCAUCUCCCCAAGUGGGAGAGUGGACGUCAUAAUUUGUGGUAGAUGGGGGUACGCGUCCGCGCGGCCCCUGCCAAAUCAUUAACAAAAUCCUCAUGUGGGCCAUUUGGGGUCCAUUUUUUCUCCGUUCUAUUGAAUCUUUUUGUUCGAGCAAUCAAGAGUACACGCAUCUUAAAGCUCUUUACCCUCCGGAGAUAUAAAGCUCAUUUUGGUAGGAAUAAGCGCUCAUACAGAACUUAAUUAUUUUGGAGAAGCAAUCGUCAUUGUUAGUCUUUAGAGAGGUUUAUUUUAUUGAUCCUUCUUCCUCUGGCAACCCUCGAUAUUACUGUCUGAGCAAUGAAGUUUUUUUAUUGUACUUCAUUGUAAUACAAGGAUGGAUACCAACUGAAAUAACUUACCGCUACAAGUAUGCAUGUAAUGUAAUCGUAGCGAAUGAAUCGCAUAUUUAUAUGCGCGAGGCAACAGAUUGGAAACCUGUUCAUGAAUUUGCACGGUUCAUCAUCUGCAAUGCGUUUUGAGUAACAAUGGCGAGCAAAGGCAACGGCGACAGUCAGGGAACGAUGAACGAGGAGUUCGAGUUGAAGUAGUUCUAACUGGAAAGAGGACGCUGAGCGCUGAGCAGAGCAUCGUGAACUCGAAAGACCGUUCACUUCCCUGACCCUCUAAGAACGAUGAGGUGCCUGCCCUUCGAACGACCGCGCCGCUUGCGAAGAGCAAUCUCGAACUUCCCCUUCGAUGUUGCAGCGGAUGGCGAGCCUUGCGGAGUGCAGACGAAGUUCCUGGAGUCGUAAGGACG